rnacentral:SRP_RNA from 1 species
GCUAGGAGUAGUGGCGCGUGCCUGUAGCCCAGCUACUUGGGAGGCUGAGGCAGGAGGAUUGCUUGGGCCCAGGAGUUCUGGGCCGCAGUGUGUAUGCCCAUCAGGUGUCCACACUAAGUUGGGCAUCAAUAGGGUGACCUCUCAGGAGUGGGAGACCACCAGUUGCCUAAGGAGGGUGAACCAGCCCAGGUUAGAAAUGGAGCAGGUCAAAAUGCCCGUGCUGAUCUAUAGCAAGAUCGUGCCUAUGAAUAGCCACUGUAUCUCAGCCUGGGCAACACAGCAAGACCCUCUCUCU